rnacentral:rRNA from 1 species
UACGUAGGGUGCGAGCGUUAAUCGGAAUUACUGGGCGUAAAGCGUGCGCAGGCGGUUUUGUAAGUCAGAUGUGAAAUCCCCGGGCUCAACCCGGGAACUGCGUCCGAUACUGGUUGGCUUGAAUCCGGGAGAGGGAUGCGGAAUUCCAGGUGUAGCGGUGAAAUGCGUAGAUAUUGGGAAGAACACCGGUGGCGAAGGCGGCGAGCUGGUCCAUUACUGACGCUGAGGCGCGAAAGCGUGGGGAGCAAACAGG